GACGAACGCUGGCGGCGUGCUUAACACAUGCAAGUCGAACGAAGUGGCGAACGGGUGAGUAAUACGUGAGUAACCUGCCCUCCUUUUUGGGAUAAGCCUUGGAAACGGGGUCUAAUACCGGAUAAGGGGGGAUGGGCUCGGGGCCUAUCGGCUCGUUGGUGGGGUGAUGGCCUACCAAGGCGGUGACGGGUAGCGGGCAUGAGAGGGUGACCGGCCACAUUGGGACUGCGCUAAGGCCCAGGGUACUACGGGGGAAAGAAGUGUGGGAUAUUGCACAAUGGGCGAAAGCCUGAUGCAGCGACGCUGAGUGGGGGAUGACGGCUUUAGGAUUGUAAUCCUAGUUCACUAUCGAACGGGUAGGUGGAGAAGAAGCGCCGGCUAACUACGUGCCAGCAGCCGCGGUAAUUC
rnacentral:rRNA from 1 species